CUACGGCCAUACCACCCUGAACGCGCCCGAUCUAGUCUGAUCUCGGAAGCUAAGCAGGGUCGGGCCUGGUUAGUACUUGGAUGGGAGAAAACUGAAAAAAAAUCUCUAAAAUUUUGUGCUUUGUGGC
rnacentral:rRNA from 1 species